rnacentral:misc_RNA from 1 species
GGAAAACAAAAGGCACUGCCAACAGAAGAAGUGAGUCCAAGGUCCCAAGGAUCAAGUUUAGCCAGUAGGACAGUUUCUCAAUCUGAAAACAGUAGUGCUGGAGAGGAAAUUAUAAAGAAGAGAACAGUAUCAACAGUUAAGGAAGAAUUUGAAAAUUCAUCAUCUGGAGAUGACUUUUUCACAGUGUAACCUUCUCUUGUAACUCUGGGUCCUGGAAUAAAGAUCACCAGUGUUGCUGCUGGUGGGCGCCACACCUUAGCACUGUCAGGUUAUAUGAAGUACGAAGUAGGUUGUUUGAAGUACGAAGCUAUGGACGAUUUUUUGAUGUAAAGCAAGACACCUGAUGCUUCAUGUUUUUAACCAAAGUUUCAGAUAUGGGACAGGUGUGGGGUUGGGGCUAUGGAGG